rnacentral:rRNA from 1 species
GUUGAUCCUGCGGGAGAUUGCUGCUAUUGGGAUUCGACUAAGCCAUGCAAGUUUGAUCGCAAGAUCGGCACAAGGCUCAAUAACACGUCGUUAAUCUGCCCUAGAGUCGGGGAUACCCUCGGAAAACUGAGGCUAAUACCUGAUAGGAUAAUAUGCCUGGAAUGGCUUUUAUUUUAAACUCGUGCUCUAGGAUGAGACGGCGGCGGAUUAGGCUGUUGGUGAGGUAACUGCUCACCAAACCACAGAUCCGUACGGGCCCUGAAAGGGGUAGCCCGGAGAAGGACACUGAGAUACUGGUCCUAGCCCUACGGGGUGCAGCAGGCGCGAAAACUCUACAAUGCACGCAAGUGUGAUAGGGGGAUCCCAAGUGCUUAUGCAAUGCAUAGGCUUUUUUCAAGACUAAAACUCUUGGAGAAUAAGUGGUGGGCAAGACUGGUGCCAGCCGCCGCGGUAACCCCAGCGCCACAAGUGGCAAUCAGUUUUAUUGGGCCUAAAGCGUCCGUAGCCGGUUUAAUAAAUCUUUUGUGAAAUCGUUGGGCUUAACUCAACGGAUUGCAGAAGACACUGUUAGACUCUGGACCGGGAGGAGUCAGAGGUAUUUUGGGGGGAGCGGUAAAAUGCUUUAAUCCCCAGAGGACCACCAAUGGCGCAGGCAUCUGACUAGAACGGAUCCGACGGUGAGGGGCGAAAGCUAGGGGAGCGAACCGGAUUAGAUACCCGAGUAGUCCUAGCCGUAAACGCUGCGAGCAAGGUGUUGCACAUUCUUCGGGAAUGUGCAGUGUCGAAAUGAAGAUGAUAAGCUCGCCGCCUGGGAAGUACGGUCGCAAGGCUGAAACUUAAAGGAAUUGGCGGGGGAGCACCACAAGGGGUGCGGCGUGCGGUUUAAUCUAACUCAACGCAGAGAACCUCACUAGGGGCGACGGCAGAAUGAAGGACAAGCUGAAGACUUUUCCUGACGAGCCGAGAGGUAGUGCAUGGCCGUCGCAAGCUCGUGCUGUAAAGUGUCCUCUUAAGUGAGGCAACGAGCGAGACCUGUACCUGCAAUUGCUAACGACCUCUGGGAUCGAGCACAUUGUAGGGACUGCCCUCGUAAGAGGGAGGAAGGUGCAGACCACGGUAGGUCUGUAUGCUCCGAAUCUCCUAGGCUACACGCGCGCAACAAUGGUAGGGACAAUGGGAUGCAACUCCGAAAGGAGAAGCCAAACCUCUAAACCCUAUCUCAGUUCAGAUUGAGGGUUGAAACUCACCCUCAUGAAGACGGAAUCCCUAGUAAUCAGAAGUCAUCAUCUUCUGGUGAAUAUGUCCCUGCUCCUUGCACACACCGCCCGUCAAACCAACCGAGCAGGUUUUAGGUAAAAUGCAGCCUAUUAGUUGCAUUGAAUCUAAGAUCAGUGAGGUGGGUUAAGUCGUCACAAGGUA